rnacentral:rRNA from 1 species
AACGAACGCUGGCGGCAUGCCUAACACAUGCAAGUCGAACGAGACCUUCGGGUCUAGUGGCGCACGGGUGCGUAACGCGUGGGAACCUGCCCUUAGGUUCGGAAUAACUCCCCGAAAGGGGUGCUAAUACCGGUUAAUGUCUUCGGACCAAAGAUUUAUCGCCUUUGGAUGGGCCCGCGUUGGAUUAGCUAGUUGGUAGGGUAAAAGCCUACCAAGGCGACGAUGCAUAGCUGGUCUGAGAGGAUGAUAAGCCACACUGGGACUGAGACACGGCCCAGACUCCGACGGGAGGCAGCAGUGGGGAAUAUUGGAGAAGGAGCGAAAGCCUGAUCCAGCAAUGCCGCGUGAGUGAUGAAGGCGUUAGGGUUGUAAAGCUCUUUUACCCGGGAUGAUAAUGACAGUACCGGGAGAAUAAGCUCCGGCUAACUCCGUG